rnacentral:rRNA from 1 species
AUGCCGGAGCCCACCCGCCUCCUCGUCACCAAGGACAAGGACGGGAAGGAAACGUUCGAGCCCAACCCUCUCCAUCCCAUCUGGGUGCGGGAGGACCAGCAGGUGCUCGGCUACCUCCUUAACAACCUCUCCAAAGAUGUGCUCAUCACGGUGACCGCGGUCACCACCGUGCAUGCCCUCUGGGUGGCGCUCGCAGGCAUGCUGUUCUCCUCUCAAUCUUUGAGUCGUGUAAACAACAUUCGCACGACCUUGAUCAAUGCACAUAAGGGCAACCAAUCGGUUGCUGCAUACUUUGCUUCCAUGCGUGGUCUUGCUGAUGAACUCGCUGCGGUCGGCAAGCCCAUCCAGGAUGAUGAGCUCAUCUCCUACCUGUUGCAUGGGCUGGUCAUGGACUACCAGCCACUCGUCUCCGCCCUCGACGCCCACGUCACGCCGGUCUCCCUCGACGAGCUGUACGCCAUGCUGAGCAACUUCGAUCAGCGUGUCACCCAGUUUCACAGCACCGGAGGCGGCUUCAAGUCCUCUGCCAACGCGGCCACUCGCGGGCGCAGUGGGUACUCAUCUCGUCAUCGUGGUCCUCCUCAACACAAGGGCAAGCAAGGCGGUGGCAGCUCCAGCAACUCUGGUUCCCGCGGCGGACGCCCUAACUUUACCAACAACAAGGGUCGCCAUGACGGGGGCGGUAGCGGCGGCGGCAGCUCGGGCAGAUCACGACCCGAUGCAGUGUGUUGCCAGAUCUGCGGCAAGCCUGGACAUAGCUAA